UACGUAGGGGGCAAGCGUUGUCCGGAUUUAUUGGGCGUAAAGAGCGUGUAGGCGGCUAGGUAGGUCCGUUGUGAAAACUCGAGGCUCAACCUCGAGACGCCGGUGGAAACCAUCUAGCUAGAGUCCGGAAGAGGAGAGUGGAAUUCCUGGUGUAGCGGUGAAAUGCGCAGAUAUCAGGAAGAACACCCGUGGCGAAGGCGGCUCUCUGGUACGUGACUGACGCUGAGACGCGAAAGCUAGGGGAGCAAACGGG
rnacentral:rRNA from 1 species